ACUCCUACGGGAGGCAGCAGUGGGGAAUAUUGGACAAUGGGCCACAAGCCUGAUCCAGCAAUUCUGUGUGCACGAUGAAGGUCUUCGGAUUGUAAAGUGCUUUCAGUUGGGAAGAAGAAAGUGACGGUACCAACAGAAGAAGCGACGGCUAAAUACGUGCCAGCAGCCGCGGUAAUACA
rnacentral:rRNA from 1 species